rnacentral:lncRNA from 1 species
UUCGUCGUUCAACACCCACAGAUACGUGUGCACGCCGCGACGGUCCAGGUGUUCAAAGAUAGCACGACGAACCAUCAGCCUGCACAACAUAAGACACCCCAGCAUUAGCUACUGCACUACUUUACACAGGCGGAUUUUUGACAGGUCUGAUCUCUCAGUCAACAUAAAGAAACAUCCGAGCACUGGUGCUUGCAGAAUGUAUAGACUGGAGGAAGAUACGCGCAUACCAUCACUCACACGUAUGAUCUCUCAGUCAACAUAAAGAAACAUCCGAGCGCUGGUGCUUGCAGAAAGUAUAGACUGGAGGAAGACACGCGCAUACCAUCACUCACACGUAUGACUCGCCAGUCGCAAUAAAGCGGCAAUCCCAAACG